rnacentral:lncRNA from 1 species
AGGUCAGAAGGAACACAGCAUACAAUGGAGAUAGGAUCGAGCAGUCUAAUUCAACUCUCAUGUUUAUCCAUCCUUGAUCAGCAGGUGAUUGCCUCAGGGCAUAGGGACGAGGAAAUUUUGAAGCUCUCAAAAUUAGAAGGAGACCGAAUGUCGAGUUGAGGUGAAGAUUGUUAGGAUCUAAUCUCUUAAGAUUCAAUUUAUAUUGAGCACACAGCAAGGUCCGCAACGACGAAUGGAGUCCAAUGAGCCCAAGAUCAGCCCAAAUGGAGUUCAGAUGGAG